GAUGAACGCUGGCGGCAUGCCUAACACAUGCAAGUCGGACGGGCAACCCGGGAGACGGUGUUUCCAGUGUCGGCCGGGGGCGUAACGCGAACGAACCUGCCCCUGGGCUGGGAACAACAGCUGGCAACGGCUGCUAAUACCCCGUAGCCUGAGAAGCAAAAGAAGGAAUCCGCCCGUGGUGAGGUUCGCGUCUGAUUUGCUAGAUAGAGAGACACUAGCUUACCUAGGUGAUGAUCAGUGGCUGGUCGGAGAGAAUGAUCGGCCACACUGGGACUGAGACACGGAGCAGGCUCCUACGGGAGGUAGCCGAGGGGAUGACGCCGCAAUGGGGGAAAGGCUGACGGAGCAAUGCGGCGUGGAGGUAGAAGGCCCACGGGUCGUGAACUUCUUUUCCCGGAGAGGAAGCAAUGACGGUAGCUGGUGAAAAAGCAACGGCUAACUCUGUG
rnacentral:rRNA from 1 species